rnacentral:lncRNA from 1 species
CAAAAAACAAGAAAUGUCCCAAUUUCUGCUCCAGAGCAGGACUGGGCAAACAUUCCCUGGGGGACGCAUUCAUGAUCUCAUGGCACCGAAACCUAUUGUAUGCAUUUCCCCCGAUACCAGUUCUCAACAGGGUUCUGAUAAAAAUACGAACGGACCGAGCCAAGGUGAUCCUCAUUGCCCCAUCGUGGCCCAGACAACCGUGGUUUCCGUUCCUCACCAGAAUGUCAAUCCAACUACCAAUCUCCCUGCCGCUCAUCCCAAACCUUGUAUCUCAACACCACGGCCGUUUUCUCCACCCCAACCUGUCCAUGCUUCACCUCAAGGCCUGGUUCCUACAUGGUUUUCCCAAAACGAAUUAGAUUGCUCUGAACAAGUUCAGAAGGUGCUCCUACAUAGCAGAAGGCAAUCUACUCGCAAGACCUAUCUUCAAAAGUGGAAACGAUUCACACAUUGGUGUUCUGCUAAACACCUUUGUCCUACCUCGGUACCUCUUUCAAUUAUACUGGACUAUCUAUUGGGCCUUAAGCAAUCCGGCCUUUCUUUCAGCUCCAUCAGGGUCCAUUUAGCUGCUAUGACAACUUUCCACGACAGAAUUGAUGACACGUCUGUCUUUGCUCACGCUAUCACGAAGCGUUUCCUCAAGGGACUACAAACCUUAUACCCAGACAUUAAACCACCGACCACCCCGUGGGACCUUCAUCUGGUACUAUCUGCCCUAACUCAACAACCAUUCGAACCCCUAGCCACGUGCUCCCUUUUACACCUCUCGAUGAAAACAGCAUUUCUAGUGGCAAUUACCUCUGCCAGACGGGCAGGAGAAAUAGCAGCUCUUAUGGCACACCCACCAUAUACGAUAUUUUUUAAAGACAAGGUUACCCUCAGAUUACACCCCAAAUUUCUUCCAAAGGUACACUCGUCAUUCCACAUUAAUGAACCCAUACACCUGCCGACUUUUUUUCCGAAACCACAUGCGAACUCCUUCGAAACCUCAAUGCAUACACUAGAUGUACGCAGAGCCUUGUCAUUCUAUUUGGAUAGAACCAAACCUUUUAGAGCUUCCUCCAGACUUUUUGUCUCUAUCGCAGAGCGCUCCAAAGGCACGCCUAUUUCUACCCAGAGACUCUCGAACUGGAUCUCCCAGUGUAUCCGACUGUGCUAUCAGAUGAAGAGGGUUACACCUCCAGACGGCAUUAGAACACACUCCACUAGAUCUCUGGCUGCCUCUGUCGCGUUCUUACGCAAAGUUCCCCUGGCUGACAUUUGUAAAGCAGCCACCUGGUCCUCUGACCACACAUUUGUUAAACACUAUGCCCUUACUCAAGGCCCUCUAUCUGACAUACGCUUGGGCAGGGCAGUACUUU